UACGGGGGGGGCUAGCGUUAUUCGGAAUCAUUGGGCGUAAAGGGCGCGUAGGCGGCGCGGUAAGUCAAAGGUGAAAUCCCUCGGCUCAACUGAGGAACUGCCUUUGAAACUGCCGUGCUUGAGUCCGGGAGGGGGUAGCGGAAUUCCCAGUGUAGCGGUGAAAUGCGUAGAUAUUGGGAGGAACACCAGUGGCGAAGGCGGCUACCUGGACCGGUACUGACGCUGAUGUGCGAAAGCGUGGGGAGCAAACAGG
rnacentral:rRNA from 1 species